UACAGAGGUGGCAAGCGUUGUUCGGAAUUACUGGGCGUAAAGGGCGCGUAGGCGGUCCGAUAAGUCCCGUGUGAAAUCCCUCGGCUCAACUGAGGAAUGGCACGGGAAACUGCCGGGCUUGAGUUCGGGAGAGGGAAGCGGAAUUCCGGGUGUAGCGGUGAAAUGCGUAGAUAUCCGGAGGAACACCGGUGGCGAAGGCGGCUUCCUGGACCGACACUGACGCUGAGGCGCGAAAGCUAGGGGAGCAAACAGG
rnacentral:rRNA from 1 species